AAAACUUUUCGCUAAUAGAAGAGCCUAUGUAGGAUUAGGUAGUUGGUAUUUUGGGUAAAAGCCUACCAAGCCUAAGAUCCUUAGCUGUUCUGAGAGGUUGAACAGCCACACUGGGACUGAGACAAGGCCCAGGCUCCAUUUGGAGCCAGCAGUGAGGAAUUUUGGACAAUGAGCGAAAGCUUGAUCCAGCAAUACUACAUGAGUGAAGAAGGCUUUCAAGUUGUAACACUCUUUGGUUGAGGAGGAUAAUGACAGUACUCAACAAAAUAGCCCCGGCUAACUUCGUGCCUGCAGCCGCGGUAAGACGAAGGGGGCGAGCGUUAUCCGGAAUGACUGGGCGUAAAGGGUCCGUAGGCAGCAUUUUUUGUUGGAAGUUAAAUAAAAAAGCUUAACUUUUUUCCGCUUCUAAAACGUAAAUGCUUUGAGUUUGAUAGAAGAUAGCAGAAUUUCACAAGGAGGGGUGAUAUCCAGAGAUCUGUGAAGGAAUAUCAGAUGCGAAGGCGGCUAUCUAGAUCAACACUGACGUUGAGGGACGAAAGCAUGGGGAGCAAACAGGAUUAGAUACCCUGGUAGUCCAUGCCCUAAAAGAUGAGUGUUCGUGCUUAGAGAACUUUAGGCACUUAGUUAACACGUUAAACACUCCGCCUGGGGAGUACGAUCGCAAGGUUGGAACUCAAAGGAAUUGACGGGGGCCUAUACAAGUGGUGGAGCAUGUGGUUUAAUGCGAUAAUACGCGCGAAACCUUACCAGUUCUUGACAUAAAAAAGAAAAAGUUUGAAAAAGCAAUUUUAAAGAUUUUUACAGGUGCUGCAUGGCUGUCGUAAGCUCGUGUCGUGAGAUGUUAGGUUAACUCCUUUUAACGGGCGAAACCCCUUUUUUUCGUUGCUACUUAAUUUUAUUUUUAAAGCACUCUAAAAAAACUGCUCCCUUUUUUUAAUUCGGAGAGGAAGGUGGGGAUGACGUCAAGUCCUUAUGGCCCUUAUGAACUGGGCUACACACGUGCUACAAUGGUAAAGACAAUAAGAAGUGAUAGGGUAACCUAAAACCAAUCUUUAAACUUUAUCAAAGUUCGGAUUGUGGACUGCAACUCGUCCAUAUGAAGGUGGAAUCACUAGUAAUCGCACAUCAGCAUGUUGCGGUGAAUUUGUACCUAGGCCUUGUACACACCGCCCGUCACGUGCCGGGAGUUGGC
rnacentral:rRNA from 1 species